GGUCACAAGUUUGAAGCCAUAGCAAAAGUUCAUGGUACAGCCUGUCAGAUUCCAAUGAAUCAGUGAAUUCUGCU
rnacentral:lncRNA from 1 species